rfam:Caenorhabditis brenneri strain PB2801 C_brenneri-6.0.1_Cont364.2, whole genome shotgun sequence.
UACCUGAUUGAUUCUGUCAGCGCGAUAUGCUCAAGUAAAAGAUUAAGCCAUGCAUGCUUUGAUUCAUCAAUGAAAUUGCGUACGGCUCAUUAGAGCAGAUAUCACCUUAUUCGGAAUCCUAUAUGGAUAACUGCGGAAAUACUGGAGCUAAUACAUGCAACUAUACCCCAACGCAAGGCGGGGUGCAAUUAUUAGAACAGACCAAACGUUCUCGGACGUUGUUUGUUGACUCUGAAUAAAGCAGUUUACUGUCAGUUUCGACUGACUCUAUCCGAAAAGGGUGUCUGCCCUUUCAACUAGAUGGUAGUUCAUUGGACUACCAUGGUUGUUACGGGUAACGGAGAAUAAGGGUUCGACUCCGGAGAGGGAGCCUUAGAAACGGCUACCACGUCCAAGGAAGGCAGCAGGCGCGAAACUUAUCCACUGUUGAGUAUGAGAUAGUGACUAAAAAUAUAAAGACUCAUCCUUUUGGAUGAGUUAUUUCAAUGAGUUGAAUAUAAAUGAUUCUUCGAGUAGCAAGGAGAGGGCAAGUCUGGUGCCAGCAGCCGCGGUAAUUCCAGCUCUCCUAGUGUAUCUCGUUAUUGCUGCGGUUAAAAAGCUCGUAGUUGGAUCUAGGUUACGUGUUGCAGUUCGCCCUCGUGCGUCAACUGUAGCCGUGACUUCUAAUUUGCUGGUUUGAGGUUGGGUUCGCCCUUCAACUGCCAGCAGGUUUACCUUGAAUAAAUCAGAGUGCUCAAAACAGGCUUUUGCUUGUAUAGCUCAUCAUGGAAUAAUGAAAUAGGACUUCGGUUCUUUUUGUUGGUUCUAGAACUGAUUUAAUGGUUAAGAGGGACAAACCGGGGGCAUUCGUAUCAUUACGCGAGAGGUGAAAUUCGUGGACCGUAGUGAGACGCCCAAUAGCGAAAGCAUUUGCCAAGAAUGUCUUCAUUAAUCAAGAACGAAAGUCAGAGGUUCGAAGGCGAUUAGAUACCGCCCUAGUUCUGACCGUAAACGAUGCCAUCUCGCGAUUCGGAGGGUUUUUGCCCUGCCGAGGAGCUAUCCGGAAACGAAAGUCUUUCGGUUCCGGGGGUAGUAUGGUUGCAAAGCUGAAACUUAAAGAAAUUGACGGAAGGGCACCACAAGGCGUGGAGCUUGCGGCUUAAUUUGACUCAACACGGGAAAACUCACCCGGUCCGGACACCAUUAGGACUGACAGAUUGAAAGCUCUUUCUCGAUUUGGUGGUUGGUGGUGCAUGGCCGUUCUUAGUUGGUGGAGUGAUUUGUCUGGUUUAUUCCGAUAACGAGCGAGACUCUAGCCUGCUAAAUAGUCGGCGAAUCUUCGGGUUCGUAUAACUUCUUAGAGGGAUAAGCGGUGUUUAGCCGCACGAGAUUGAGCGAUAACAGGUCUGUGAUGCCCUUAGAUGUCCGGGGCUGCACGCGUGCUACACUGGUGGAGUCAGCGGGUUUUUCCUAUGCCGAAAGGUAUCGGUAAACCGUUGAAAUUCUUCCAUGUCCGGGAUAGGGUAUUGUAAUUAUUGCCCUUAAACGAGGAAUGCCUAGUAAGUGUGAGUCAUCAGCUCACGUUGAUUACGUCCCUGCCCUUUGUACACACCGCCCGUCGCUAUCCGGGACUGAACUGAUUCGAGAAGAGUGGGGACUGUCGCUUCGAGGUUUUCGGACUUCGUUGUUGCGGAAACCAUUUUUAUCGCAUUGGUUUGAACCGGGUAAAAGUCGUAACAAGGUAGCUGUAGGUGAACCUGCAGCUGGAUCAUCG